GACGAACGCUGGCGGCGUGCCUAAUACAUGCAAGUUGAGCGAUGAAAGAUGGUACUUGUACCAGAUUGAAGAGCAGCGAACGGGUGAGUAACGCGUGGGUAACCUACCUGAUAGCGGGGGACAACUAUUGGAAACGAUAGCUAAUACCGCAUAACAAUGAGAAAGUCAUCUUUCUUAUUUGAAAGAAGCAACUGUUUCACUAUCAGAUGGACCCGCGUUGGAUUAGCUAGUUGGAAGUGUAAUGGACUCCCAAGGCAAUGAUCCAUAGCCGACCUGAGAGGGUGAUCGGCCACAUUGGGACUGAGACACGGCCCAAACUCCUACGGGAGGCAGCAGUAGGGAAUCUUCGGCAAUGGACGCAAGUCUGACCGAGCAACGCCGCGUGAGUGAAGAAGGUUUUCGGAUCGUAAAACUCUGUUGUUAGAGAAGAACAGGUGUGGGAGUGGAAAGUCCACGCCAUGACGGUAUCUAACCAGAAAGGGACAGCUAACUACGUGCCAGCCGCCGCAGAAAGAC
rnacentral:rRNA from 1 species